GACGAACGCUGGCGGCGUGCUUAACACAUGCAAGUCGAACGGAAAGGCCCUGCUUGCUGGGUGCUCGAGUGGCGAACGGGUGAGUAACACGUGGGUGAUCUGCCCCUUACUUUGGGAUAAGCCUGGGAAACUGGGUCUAAUACUGGAUAGGACCAUGCUGUAGGUGGUGUGGUGGAAAGAUUAGUUUCGGUAAGGGAUGAGCUCGCGGCCUAUCAGCUUGUUGGUGGGGUAAUGGCCUACCAAGGCGUCGACGGGUAGCCGGCCUGAGAGGGUGGACGGCCACAUUGGGACUGAGAUACGGCCCAGAAGCCUGCGGGAGGCAGCAGUGGGGAAUAUUGCAAAAUGGGCGUAAGGCUGAUGCAGCGACGGCGCGUGGGGGAUGACGGCCUUCGGGUUGUAAACACCUUUCGGCCAUGACGAAGCCCUUGUGGUGACGGUAGUGGUAGAAGAAGCACCGGCUAACUACGUG
rnacentral:rRNA from 1 species